rnacentral:rRNA from 1 species
AUUGAACGCUGGCGGAAUGCUUUACACAUGCAAGUCGAACGGCAGCACGGACUUCGGUCUGGUGGCGAGUGGCGAACGGGUGAGUAAUACAUCGGAACGUGCCCAGUCGUGGGGGAUAUCGUAGCGAAAGCUACGCUAAUACCGCAUACGAUCUAAGGAUGAAAGCGGGGGAUCGCAAGACCUCGCGCGAUUGGAGCGGCCGGUGGCAGAUUAGGUAGUUGGUAGGGUAAAGGCCUACCAAGCCGACGAUCUGUAGCUGGUCUGAGAGGAUGAUCAGCCACACUGGGACUGAGACACGGCCCAGACUCCUACGGGAGGCAGCAGUGGGGAAUUUUGGACAAUGGACGCAAGUCUGAUCCAGCCAUUCCGCGUGCAGGAUGAAGGCCCUCGGGUUGUAAACUGCUUUUGUACAGAACGAAAAGGCUCUGGUUAAUACCUGGGGCUCAUGACGGUACUGUAAGAAUAAGCACCGGCUAACUACGUGCCAGCCGCCGCGGUAA